rnacentral:rRNA from 1 species
AUUACCUACGGGGGGCAGCAGUGAGGAAUAUUGGUCAAUGGGCGGAAGCCUGAACCAGCCAAGUCGCGUGAGGGAAUAAGGCCCUACGGGUCGUAAACCUCUUUUGCCGGGGAGCAAGGGCCGGGACGCGUCCCGGCCCGGAGAGUACCCGGAGAAAAAGCAUCGGCUAGCUCCGGGCCAGCAGCCGCGGUAAUAAGGAGGAUGCGAGCGUUAUCGGGAUUUAUUGGGUUUAAAG